rnacentral:rRNA from 1 species
AUGAACGCUGGCGGCGUGCUUAACACAUGCAAGUCGAACGAAGCAUUUAGAACAGAUUACUCGGUUUGAAGUCUUAUGACUGAGUGGCGACGGGUGAGUAACGCGUGGGUAACCUGCCUUGUACUGGGGGAUAGCAGCUGGAAACGGCUGGUAAUACCGCAUAAGCGCACGGUGCUGCAUGGCACAGUGUGAAAAACUCCGGUGGUAUAAGAUGGACCCGCGUCUGAUUAGCUAGUUGGUGAGAUAACAGCCCACCAAGGCGACGAUCAGUAGCCGACCUGAGAGGGUGACCGGCCACAUUGGGACUGAGACACGGCCCAGACUCCUACGGGAGGCAGCAGUGGGGAAUAUUGCACAAUGGAGGAAACUCUGAUGCAGCGACGCCGCGUGAGUGAAGAAGUAAUUCGUUACGUAAAGCUCUAUCAGCAGGGAAGAUAGUGACGGUACCUGACUAAGAAGCUCCGGCUAAAUACGUG